AUUACUGGUUCAGAAAGAGAUGAAAUACUUGAGCGUUUGUUUCCUGAUUCUGUUCCUGGUAGCGGUCUCUCUGGCCAUAAAGAAUUAACUGAAGAUUCUCUCACUUGUGAAUUAAAAUCAGCUCCUCCUAAUAGUCUCACAAUGCAUCUAGCCAAAGCUUUCUGUAACA